rnacentral:rRNA from 1 species
GUGGGGAUGACGUCAAGUCCUCAUGGCCUUUAUGUCCAGGGCUACACACGUGCUACAAUGGGCGGUACAAAGCGCUGCGAAGCCGCAAGGUGGAGCCAAUCGCAGAAAGCCGCUCUCAGUUCGGAUUGCA